GUGUGGUGUGGAAGUGUUUGUUUUUUGCAAUAGAUUUUUGUUGCAGUUUAGGUUUGUAUUUUCUUUGUUUUGUAGUGCUUAUUAUGAAGGUUCGUAGGUUUAUGUCUGUAGGCCAGGCAGGUCAUUAAACUUAACAAAGAAUAAGUAAGUCGGGAGAGGGGAAUAGAAAUCUCCACAUACAUAUUCUUAAAAGCUGUAACACUCACCACAAAGAUCUGCUGAGUGAAGUCUGUGAGACGAACGCACCAAGUCUGGACGCUCUGUCAGGCUACAUUUUACGUUUUUGGGAGUGAGCAGGUGUUAUUCUGUUCCCCGGGUUGGUUUUGAAGUCAUGGCUCUCAAGUAAUUUUUGUGCUUCUCAAAAGUGCUGGAAUUGCAAAGAGUUCAAACAUUGAAUUAGUUGUGCAAUGGAAGGAGUAUUACCAGGACCCAGAUGCAGCCCAAGGAAAAAAGAAAACAAAAGGAGACACACACAGACACCAGAGCAUGAUGCAAGUGUGGCUUAAUCGGUGCUUGCACAUUGGGCUUGUUCUUUCCAAACCUGUUGCCCCGAUUCUGCAAGGCUAUCCUGCUGUAGAAGGAGGCCCUGGAGGACAAGACACCAUGUGGGGAAAACAGCCAUGGGGAGCAGAACCGAGGUAUCCCAGCUUAGCUCCCAACUGACAGCAGCCACAUGAGUGAGCAGAAAAACAACUUCCAAGGGUGAUUUAGCUACUGCUGCUGUGGAAUGUCAAAACUUUCAGCAAGGGAGCCCGAUGCAGAUCUGUUGAUAUGACACCAUUCCACAAGAAGACCAACUGAUGGCUUUGUGGCAAGUUGACUACACUGGGCUGUUUCUAUUCUGGGAAGACAGAGAUUUGUUCUAAGAGGAAUAGGCAUGUGUUGCAGGCAUAGGUUGACCUUUCCUGCCAUGGAGCCUCCUCUGGUACCACUAUUUGAAGGUUGAAGGAAUGUUGAUUCACCAGGAUUGAGUCAGACCAGCCAAGCCUAUGACCAUGAUGUCAACUGACUGUAUCACCUGUCACAUCAUCCAGAAGCUACAGACUUAUAAGGCAUUGGAAUAACUUGUAGAUGGCCCCGUUAAAGUACCAGCUUAGAGGCAACACUCCAUGAGAAUGAGACAUCAUCUCCAGGAUGGCACAUACACAUUGAAUCACACAGCAUUGAUAAGGAGAUGGCUCCCCAGUAGGAAGAAUAUAUUGGUCAUGAACCAAGGGAUGAAGCAGAAGUGUCUUGCUUCCUGUCCCUGCAGCCUCUCUUUCUGCAGUGCUAGAAAUCCUGGUCAAAAGGGGGCAUAAUUUUAUCAGGGGACACAGCAAAAGUCUCCACUACAUUGCAGCUAUGCCUGCUGCCUGGGGAUUUUGGGCUUCUUAUAAUUGGGACCAGCAAUAAAAGAGAAGAGUCACAGUCUUGGCAGGGCUAAUUGACCCUGAUCAGCAGGAGAAGAAAGGCUGUGGUUCCACUAUGAGGGUAGGGAAGACGUGUGGCACCACUGAUCCACUUUUGCAACCCAUGGUACUCCCGUGGCCAGUUGUGAUGACAGACAAGUGCAGGAACACUUUUGGGAAGGGCAUGGUGGCCAGAGUUCAGACCCCAUGGGAAUGAGGACCAGGGUCACACCACUGGAUAAGCCAGGAGGAAGAGAGGCCCACUGGAAGGCUGGAGGAGCUGCUCCCCAGAUGUAGAUGAAGUAGAUUUGAGCAGCACAGUGGUGGACCUAGUAGAGGCGGACAUCAAGAUCCUCUUCAAGGAAAGAUUAUCAAUAUAGUUUUCCCUGACCCAGGUGCCAUGUGUUUUCUGUCAUAUUCACGUAUGCUAAUACAUAAUUGUGCAAGUGGGGUAAUAUCUGGGACACUUCAUGGUUCAUAUCAAAACACAGAGUGAAGAGAACAUCCUCUGGGCCAUCUCAGAGUGUGAGUUUGGGGCGGGGGUGGCUCCUGGUUAACAUUUCUGUCCACUGCAGCAUUCCUUUUCCCUUUUGCUUUUAGAUUCUUCCCUUGACAUCACACCAGGAAAGUCUGACAACUUAACUUUAUUGGAUAUAGGCAACCGUUGAAUCCAAGUUUUGCCCACUGAAUCCAUCAAAUUGUUACAGCCAAUUCUAGAUGCCUGAGUGGACACAUGAAAUCCAGAUUCCCCAGUAAGCGCAUCCCCAUUAAUAAACUGACCAAAUGCAAUGUUAAUCUGUUCUAUAACCUUUAGAAUCCAUCCCAACAUAUAUUUUUUAGGUUCCUGCCAAGAUAUGUUAGCAAAAGCUUGCAAUUUUUUGAAAAAUGAAUUAUCUCUUCCUGGGACAUGUGUUGUACUUUUCUCUCUGAAAUAGGCUGAGCUCUGACUCCAUUAAAAGUCUGAAAGCAAUGAAGAGUGAAGGAGCGGAUAUUGGGGAGA
rnacentral:lncRNA from 1 species